UACGUAGGGUGCAAGCGUUGUCCGGAAUUAUUGGGCGUAAAGGGCUCGUAGGCGGUCCGUCACGUCGGGAGUGAAAACUUGGGGCUUAACCCCAAGCCUGCUUCCGAUACGGGCGGACUAGAGGUAGGCAGGGGAGAACGGAAUUCCUGGUGUAGCGGUGAAAUGCGCAGAUAUCAGGAGGAACACCAAUUGCGAAGGCAGCUCGCUGGGACGUUACUGACGCUGAGACGCGAAAGCGUGGGGGAGCAAACAGG
rnacentral:rRNA from 1 species